rnacentral:rRNA from 1 species
UUUUAUUUGAGAGUUUGAUCCUGGCUCAGGAUGAACGCUGGCGGCGUGCCUAACACAUGCAAGUUGAGCGAUUUACUUCGGUAAAGAGCGGCGGACGGGUGAGUAACGCGUGGGUAACCUACCCUGUACACACGGAUAACAUACCGAAAGGUAUGCUAAUACGGGAUAAUAUAUUUGAGAGGCAUCUCUUAAAUAUCAAAGGUGAGCCAGUACAGGAUGGA